UAGGGAAUCUUCCGCAAUGGGCGAAAGCCUGACGGAGCAACGCCGCGUGAGUGAUGAAGGUCUUCGGAUCGUAAAACUCUGUUAGUAGGGAAGAACAAAUGUGUAAGUAACUAUGCACGUCUUGACGGUACCUAAUCAGAAAGCCACGGCUAACUACGUGCCAGCAGCCGCGGUAAUACGUAGGUGGCAAGCGUUAUCCGGAAUUAUUGGGCGUAAAGCGCGCGUAGGCGGUUUUUUAAGUCUGAUGUGAAAGCCCACGGCUCAACCGUGGAGGGUCAUUGGAAACUGGAAAACUUGAGUGCAGAAGAGGAAAGUGGAAGUCCAUGUGUAGCGGUGAAAUGCGCAGAGAUAUGGAGGAACACCAGUGGCGAAGGCGACUUUCUGGUCUGUAACUGACGCUGAUGUGCGAAAGCGUGGGGAUCAAACAGG
rnacentral:rRNA from 1 species